UACGGGGGGAGCAAGCGUUGUUCGGAUUUACUGGGCGUAAAGGGCGCGUAGGCGGUCAGCACAAGUCAGUUGUGAAAUCUCCGGGCUUAACUCGGAAAGGUCAACUGAUACUGUGCGACUAGAGUGCAGAAGGGGCAACUGGAAUUCUCGGUGUAGCGGUGAAAUGCGUAGAUAUCGAGAGGAACACCAGUGGCGAAGGCGGCCGACUGGGCCGAUCCUGACGCUGAGACCCGAAAGCCAGGGGAGCAAACCGG
rnacentral:rRNA from 1 species